rnacentral:RNase_P_RNA from 1 species
CCAGAUGGCUGGAUGGUCGCCCUGCCAUGCAUUAGGCCCGUAUUAAAAAUCGUCAAUACGAGUCAAAUGCAUGGCAGGGAGGAAAGUCCGGGCUCCAUAGGAUCAGGGUGCCGGUUAACGGCCGGCGGGGGUAACCCCAGGGAAAGUGCAACAGAAAACAAACCUCCAGCCGCUAACACAUGUGAGCGGCUGGGAAGGGUGAAAAGGUGCGGUAAGAGCGCACCGCGCCGGCAGUAAUGUCGGUGGCACGGCAAACCCCACCCGGAGCAAAACCGCAUAGGAAGGGCUUGGGCUGAUCUUACCCGUUUAGCUCUUCGGGUUGGUUGCUUGAGGUGCGCAGUAAUGCGCACCCCAGAUGAAUGACCGUCCUCGACAGAACCCGGCUUACAGGCCAUCUGGCAAU